UACGUAGGGUGCGAGCGUUGUCCGGGAUUACUGGGCGUAAAGAGCUCGUAGGUGGUUUGUCGCGUUGUUCGUGAAAACUCACAACUCAAUUGUGGGCGUGCGGGCGAUACGGGCAGACUGGAGUACUGCAGGGGAGACUGGAAUUCCUGGUGUAGCGGUGGAAUGCGCAGAUAUCAGGAGGAACACCGGUGGCGAAGGCGGGUCUCUGGGCCUUACCUGACGCUGAGGAGCGAAAGCGUGGGGAGCGAACAGG
rnacentral:rRNA from 1 species